rnacentral:rRNA from 1 species
GUCCCGCAACGAGCGCAACCCUCGCCUCUAGUUGCCAGCAUUCGGUUGGGCACUCUAGAGGGACUGCCGGCGACAAGUCGGAGGAAGGUGGGAUGACGUCAAAUCAUCAUGCCCCUUAUGACCUGGGCUACACACGUGCUACAAUGGGCGGUACAAAGGGCUGCGAACCCGCGAGGGGGAGCGAAUCCCAAAAAGCCGCUCUCAGUUCGGAUUGCAGGCUGCAACUCGCCUGCAUGAAGCCGGAAUCGCUAGUAAUCGCGGAUCAGCAUGCCGCGGUGAAUACGUUCCCGGGCCUU